UACACGCUUCCUUAGAUCCAUUCCCGGGUCUCCUCGUAGCCACACCCCCACCCUCGUGUGAGGGGGUGUGCUGAGGCCAACACCCUGUACGGUGCACAUUGGGAGUGCUUGAAUCAUGAGUGUGUGAGAGUAUUAUACCCCCUGUCCUGGCCCGUCAGACCCCCCAGUGAGAUACUGGACCUCCCCGUGGGGCGAGAACAGUCAGGCAGGGGACAAC